GACGAAGGUGGCAAGCGUUGUUCGGAAUCACUGGGCUUAAAGGGCGCGUAGGGCGGGAUCGUAUGUCGGGUGUGAAAUCCCAUGGCUCAACCAUGGAACUGCGCCCGAAACUGCGGUUCUUGAGUGUAGAAGGGGAGAGCGGAAUUCCUGGUGGAGCGGUGAAAUGCUUAGAUAUCAGGAGGAACACCGGUGGCGAAGGCGGCUCUCUAGUCUACAACUGACGCUGAGGCGCGAAAGCCAGGGGAGCGAACGGGAUUAGAUACCCGAGUA
rnacentral:rRNA from 1 species